rnacentral:tRNA from 1 species
UACGGGAUCGUAUAAAGGCAAUACAAAUGACUUUGAUUCAUUUAAUCGGGGUUCGAGUCCCUGUCCCGUAUCCA